GUCAGUACUCCAACUUCUUGACCGAUCACAUCGAUCUUGAUUUGGAUGUGAAAACCAACCUACAAACUCUGUGCAAAGAGAUGGUGAAAUUGGCGAUGACCGAUUGUCACUGGCUCAAAGUCUG
rnacentral:sRNA from 1 species